rnacentral:rRNA from 1 species
GACGAACGCUGGCGGCGUGCUUAACACAUGCAAGUCGAACGGAAAGGCCCUGCAUUUGUGGUGUGCUCGAGUGGCGAACGGGUGAGUAACACGACAGUAACCUGACCUUGAAUUUGGGAUAACUUCAGGAAACUGGGGCUAAUACCGGAUAGGAGCUCCUGCUGCAUGGUGGGGGUUGGAAAGUUUCGGCGGGUGGGGAUGGACUCGCGGCUUAUCAGCUUGUUGGUGGGGUAGUGGCUUACCAAGGCUUUGACGGGUAGCCGGCCUGAGAGGGUGACCGGACACAUUGGGACGGAGAUACGGCCCAGACUCCUACGGGAGGCAGCAGUGGGGAAGAUUGCACAAUGGGCGGAAGCCUGAUGCAGUAACGCCGCGUGCGGGAUGACGGCCUUCGGGUUGUAAACCGCUUUCGCCUGUGACGAAGAGUGAGUGACGGUAAUGGGUAAAGAAGCACCGGCUAACUACGUG